AAUGAUGCCAGAUGUCCUGUAUCUUGCACGGUUGUUCCACAUGACAGAACUAUCUGGCUGGCAAUUCUACUAGACUUUGCUAGUCUGUUUAUGCUUUCCUACUCUCCAAAGAAUGAGACUACAUACACUAAAAAACCAAAAAGCCUAAAAAAAGAGAUGAUAUUUUAAUUUCAAAAGCUUAAUAAUUUGCUGAACAGAAGACUUUUGAGAGUCAGCAGAAAUCUUCCACUUUGCAUGGUUCUCUUGAUGUGAAAUCAUCUAUAUAGCCCCAGAAUUGGAAAAGAAAAAAAAUAAAAAAAUGGAAGGAAACUGGAUUCGACA
ensembl:lncRNA CCDC18-AS1 CCDC18 antisense RNA 1